rnacentral:rRNA from 1 species
AUUGAUUAUGACGUACUUGUACUGAUUGAGAUUUUAACACGAAGUGAGUGGCGAACGGGUGAGUAACACGUGGGUAACCUGCCCAGAAGUAGGGGAUAACACCUGGAAACAGAUGCUAAUACCGUAUAACAGAGAAAACCGCAUGGUUUUCUUUUAAAAGAUGGCUCUGCUAUCACUUCUGGAUGGACCCGCGGCGUAUUAGCUAGUUGGUGAGGUAAAGGCUCACCAAGGCAGUGAUACGUAGCCGACCUGAGAGGGUAAUCGGCCACAUUGGGACUGAGACACGGCCCAGACUCCUACGGGAGGCAGCAGUAGGGAAUCUUCCACAAUGGACGCAAGUCUGAUGGAGCAACGCCGCGUGAGUGAAGAAGGGUUUCGGCUCGUAAAGCUCUGUUGUUAAAGAAGAACGUGGGUAAGAGUAACUGUUUACCCAGUGACGGUAUUUAACCAGAAAGCCACGGCUAACUACGUGCCAGCAGCCGCGGUAAUACGUAGGUGGCAAGCGUUAUCCGGAUUUAUUGGGCGUAAAGCGAGCGCAG